rnacentral:lncRNA from 1 species
UCCAUCACAGUGUUAUCAAAAUUCAACAUUCACAUAAUCAAAAUCUCCAAUAUUAAAUAGAAAAAAUACAUGAUCAAGAAAGUGGUUGCUGCAAAUUUGAGGGCACAAGGAAAUGUGGGUUUUAAGCAAGAAAUGAACUUAUAAAAUAUUCCAAAAUGAGGACAAAUUAAAAGAAAAUUUUGAAUUCCUUACCAUAGAGAGAGAAUCAUAAAAUGUCACCCCUUGCAUUUGGAGUAGGCGAGGGAGGAGGAGUGAGUCAAGUUACCGGAGAUGGCGAAAUUGGUGCCGAUGGUGAGAGAAUCACAGUCGCAGACGACAGAAAGGGGAUGAAACGUCUAGGUUGGAUUUGGGAAAUUGGGCUGGUAUAAUGGGUUAUAAUUUUUUCUUCUGGGUUUUCA